rnacentral:snRNA from 1 species
GUGCUCACUUUGACAGCACAUAUACUAAAAUUGGAAUGAUACAGAGAAGAUUAGCAUGGCCCCUGCACAAGGAUGACACGCAAAUUUGUGAAGCAUUCCAUAUUUUU